CAUAGGUUAAUGAGGCGAACCGGGGGAACUGAAACAUCUAAGUACCCCGAGGAAAAGAAAUCAACCGAGAUUCCCCCAGUAGCGGCGAGCGAACGGGGAGCAGCCCAGAGCCUGAAUCAGUGUGUGUGUUAGUGGAAGCGUCUGGAAAGGCGCGCGAUACAGGGUGACAGCCCCGUACACAAAAAUGCACAUGCUGUGAGCUCGAUGAGUAGGGCGGGACACGUGGUAUCCUGUCUGAAUAUGGGGGGACCAUCCUCCAAGGCUAAAUACUCCUGACUGACCGAUAGUGAACCAGUACCGUGAGGGAAAGGCGAAAAGAACCCCGGCGAGGGGAGUGAAAAAGAACCUGAAACCGUGUACGUACAAGCAGUGGGAGCACGCUUAGGCGUGUGACUGCGUACCUUUUGUAUAAUGGGUCAGCGACUUAUAUUCUGUAGCAAGGUUAACCGAAUAGGGGAGCCGAAGGGAAACCGAGUCUUAACUGGGCGUUAAGUUGCAGGGUAUAGACCCGAAACCCGGUGAUCUAGCCAUGGGCAGGUUGAAGGUUGGGUAACACUAACUGGAGGACCGAACCGACUAAUGUUGAAAAAUUAGCGGAUGACUUGUGGCUGGGGGUGAAAGGCCAAUCAAACCGGGAGAUAGCUGGUUCUCCCCGAAAGCUAUUUAGGUAGCGCCUCGUGAAUUCAUCUCCGGGGGUAGAGCACUGUUUCGGCAAGGGGGUCAUCCCGACUUACCAACCCGAUGCAAACUGCGAAUACCGGAGAAUGUUAUCACGGGAGACACACGGCGGGUGCUAACGUCCGUCGUGAAGAGGGAAACAACCCAGACCGCCAGCUAAGGUCCCAAAGUCAUGGUUAAGUGGGAAACGAUGUGGGAAGGCCCAGACAGCCAGGAUGUUGGCUUAGAAGCAGCCAUCAUUUAAAGAAAGCGUAAUAGCUCACUGGUCGAGUCGGCCUGCGCGGAAGAUGUAACGGGGCUAAACCAUG
rnacentral:rRNA from 1 species